rnacentral:rRNA from 1 species
GCAGCCGCGGUAAUACGUAGGGGGCAAGCGUUGUCCGGAAUGAUUGGGCGUAAAGGGCGCGUAGGCGGCUUGUUAAGUCUGGAGUGAAAGUCCUGCCUUCAAGGUGGGAAUUGCUUUGGAUACUGAUGAGCUUGAGUGCAGGAGAGGUAAGUGGAAUUCCCAGUGUAGCGGUGAAAUGCGUAGAGAUUGGGAGGAACACCAGUGGCGAAGGCGACUUACUGGACUGUAACUGACGCUGAGGCGCGAAAGUGUGGGGAGCAAACAGGAUUAGAUACCCC